UUUUACUCUGACAGCAUAAUUUGAUCUGAUUUAGUUCAAUUUAGAACAAUACUGUGAACAUUCUGACAUUAUGCUGUGAUCGUGGAAUGCCUUCAGCUUCCUCUCAAGGCACUUUUUCUCCACUCUCAAAGCCACUUUACCUCUAGCGCAGCCUAAUGAGUAAGUUAAACACAUGAACUGAUCUGGGUGUUCACACUGCAAAAGCUUUUCAUUGAAUAAAAAGCACUUGAAGUGCUAGUUUUAAUGGUUCAAAAGAAACUAUAAAAGAUUUAUUGGUCCUUUUACCCCUUUGGGUAGUAAAAAACUUGUGGUCACCACUCUUGCAUAAAGUUUUCUGCUUUUUGUUCUGACUAUUUUGCUUCAAAAAGAAAGGGCACUUUGAAGUAUUUAUGUUUGUGAAGAGAUGCAUUCUGAAUUUAAAUAGUGCAGCAUGUCCUAUUGGAGUCUGGAACAAGAUGAAAAAAAUUCUAUGAUGACCUUAUGCACAGGAGGAAGCCACAAAUCCAUUAGGUUUCUUUAUCAUAUGGCAUGAUCCAGAAUGCAGGUUAUUUCUUGAUUUUAUUGUCCUGGUUCCAAAGGGAAUGCUCUCAGUAACUCAGCAGGUGCCUGUUUCUGAGUCUUUGGAAGGGUCAGAGAGCAAAGUCAUUGUUAGAGUUAUAGCACCAGGGUCUUGAGAUAGCAACAAUGUGUUUAAAGCUGUCUUCAUCUGGUAAGUGGGUGAGAGUGGCAUGACCCUGCAGCCCUGCCCGCAGCCCUUAAGAUUACAGAACAUAUCAGGAUUCCUGCACUCCCUAUAUUCUUCUGGUUUGCAACUGUUUUACUGGUCUUGAGAGCGAGGUAAGAGUUUGUUUCUCUGAAUGACACAUUUAUCCUGUUGAGCUCAGAUUCCAUUAUUGUGGUGAUCUGUGACACUUCACAGCUUGUGUAUAUGACUGGCAGGGGCUCCCAGGUAAGAUGGAAAUCUUUUAUGGAAAAAUGGAAAAUAGUGUUUUCUUUAUAUUACUUUUCAUAGUGGAUCAGACCCUUUGUCUCCUAAAAGAAAAGAGUAGUUACACAAAGAAAAUUAAUUUUAGAUGCUUUCUUCACAGAUUUAAUUGUCUACUAGUUUAAUUUCUAUAUGUAAUGAGCAUAAUUCAUCAGCUGAGCUUAUUUUUUUAACUCUUUAUUGCACAGGACCAGGAAGCAGUACAAUCAGUCUUUUCUUACUGCAGUAAGAGGUGGUUUCGGAGAGACUCUCUACGUGGUGUUCAAGUGCACAAAACAUGUGGGAGGCUCUGUGAAACCUCUUCUUCCAGACCAUGCUUCUGUCCACAUCUCCUUCCAGGCAAAUAUGGAAAUUUCUAUUUGUGAGUAUGCUGACAUUUUGAAGUAAAUGAGACAGUGUUUGGCAAAUCUAUGUCACAAACAACACCAUCAAGGGAUGCUGUCAGCUGUUUGUUUGUCAGAAGAAUGUUAAAACCUUUCUGUCUGCCUUACAGUCGCCUUUCCAAGGGAUCUACCAAUCACAAAAGCUGCCAGAUCACCAAGUGCAUAAUGUGAAAAAGCUUCCAUGAGUCGUGAGAUAAUCCUGCUCAACUCCUCAUGUGUAUUAAAUUAAUCUUUCUCAUUAACAUGUAAGGAAAUAGAAAUUCAGAUUUGUUUGUACAUAUUUGUCAAGAGGACUAGUAUUUCCUUUGUAUAAAAGUUACAACCAUAUUCUUGAGAGAACAGGAUCUUACAAUAAGGAAUUUAAGAGCCAUCUUUAUUUUGUCCUUAUUUCAAGAAGCAAUUUGUUCAGAGCUUUUGCACAUAUUUGUUAAGCUAUGCAUUCUAACCCAAAACUAAUUCAAAUCCAGACAAAUGUGAAAUUCUUAUUUGUCUGGGGAAACAUUUCAUUAAAUAUGCAUUAAGUCUCACUCUUACAUGUGAUUAUUACACUACAUUCAUUUUGAAACUGAUGAAAAGCAAAGCACAGACAAAAUUUCACCUGAAGUUAAUGUGAGAGUCUUAUAGUAGACCCUUAGUACUCAUGCCCCACACCCAGUGUUCCAGUGAAUAAAUUACAUCUUCUUUACAAAUUGAACAAAAAUCUAUGUUUAAUUUCUCAUAUUUGAUUGGUAGUAAGAUGCCUUUGGAUUGUGAUAUGCAACAUGAUAAAAUCUUGUAAACACUGCAGAAUAAAGGUGUAUUUUGUCACCUUAGGUUAUUAUUUCACAAAAGCUAAAAUCUAACAAAAACUUUAACAUGUCAAAAAUAGCCCUUUUAUUGAGGCCACUGGAAAAGAUAUCUGCCUUUAAUUUCAAAGAUGACCUAUGCAAAUAAAAUUUCUCCAUGUGAAACAGACAGAGUGAAAUAUUAAUUUGGUAAACUUCAGUAGACAUGUCAUGCAACAAAUACGCUUAGGGGGCAAGUGGUUAGGUGCUACUAGUUUUUUAAGCAUGUGAGUAGAAAAUAACACAUUGUUUUCAGAUGUUUUCAGACAGGCCUGAAACUGUGUUUGCCAUUUCUUUUCAAUUGGCAACAUUAACAGCAGCAAAGUCUGCAAAAAUUCUGGUAUUUAGGACAAGUUUAUCUGUAUUGCCCACGACUGCCAAUAGAUAAAAAGUAUCUUUUUGCACAAGAGAUAUCUAGGUUCAUACAUUUUAUUUAUUAAAUUCAGUUUCCCAGAAAAUCACCACUUUUCUAUCAUAAUUUCAUUCUAUGUCACAACUACAACUACAAAUUACUUCUCUGGGCUUAGGCUGUGCUCAGCAAUCAGCACAGUUAAACCAUAUAUCACAAGCAAUUGAAUCAGGGCAGACCCAUUUUUAGACUUGCAAUCUAUUAAAACUUCUGUUUUCUGGGAAAGGCUCCUAAAUGUUUUGUGGAUGGCUGCUGUUAAGUUUAUGUUUCUGUUGCUUUACAGAAACCCAGACCUGCAAAAUACCUGUAACUCCCUUGACAAAUGUACAAUUCUGCUCCCAUCACUGCUUUAUGCCUGCAUGCUUCUGAAACUUACAGACCCUUUCUAACUUACCAUAAGUCCAGUAGUUAAUAUGAUAAAAGAUAAUAUCUUAUCCACUUUAGCUUGCCAAAAAUCUGUGAGAGAGAAAUUCUUGAAGUAGAUCAUGUUAUGUUUCUGUAAGGGAUGUGUUUUUCCUGUUUCACAGUCUGAAGAAAUCAGAAAGCAGUUUUACCUUCCCUGUAGAUUAGCAAGAGAAGUUUCCAGGUUUAUUGAGCCAGCUCAAUGGCACUCAAUAUCUCUUUCUUUGGCACAUAGGUCAGAGCUUUUCCCAAGGCAUAUUUUUGUUCGAGGCCAUUCACAAUGUACUACAUGAAUGAGUACAUAUGAUGGCUACAGUAUGACAAUAUAUGAUGCAGAGCAUUGGGAUUUCUGACAAUUGUUAUUUCUUGAUUUAUUUUAUGUUUGAAAUUUUGGGAUGCAACCUUGGAAACAGAGCUGAAAGAGUAAGAGGAAGCAACCAUGUGAAGAACAAAUUAUCAAUGUGAUAGGGAGACCUCCCUGAUGGACAGCCUCAGAAAUGGAAAGAAUUUGUUCAUGUGAUAUUGAACUGUAAGUUUUCAAUAUGAGAUGAUGGAAAAGGAAAGCCAAUUCUUUUCAUUCUAGGGCUGAAUAUGCAGAGAUAUCUCAAGAGAAAGAAAACAGGUAGCGGUUUUCUCUGGACAUUUCUGGUGGAGUAAUAGGAGGAAUAUGGGAUUCAGUUCAAGAAACUACCUCCCAGAUUACAUUUGUAAACUGUAGGGACUUCAGAAAAGACCAUGACAAUUCUAGAAAAUUACCCAUCUCUGGCUUGUUUAAUGCCUGGAGUGAAACAAGAAAUCAGUAAGCAUUAGAAGGAUGAAAACCCAAAAGACAAAAUUGUUAUUUUAAAGAAUGCAUGGGAGUGCAAAAAGAAAUAGUGUUGUUAUGAUGUUGAAUAACGGUAAAGAAAGUUGAACUGGCUAUUUCAAACAUAUCGAAGUUCUAUUAAAGCAGCAAUAUUACCUUUCUGAGGGAAAUG